rnacentral:rRNA from 1 species
AAACUGCUUUUGUACGGAACGAAAAAGCUCUCUCUAAUACAGGGGGUGAAUGACGGUACCGUAAGAAUAAGCACCGGCUAACUACGUGCCAGCAGCCGCGGUAAUACGUAGGGUGCAAGCGUUAAUCGGAAUUACUGGGCGUAAAGCGUGCGCAGGCGGUUAUGUAAGACAGAGGUGAAAUCCCCGGGCUCAACCUGGGAACUGCCUUUGUGACUGCAUAGCUGGAGUGCGGCAGAGGGGGAUGGAAUUCCGCGUGUAGCAGUGAAAUGCGUAGAUAUGCGGAGGAACACCGAUGGCGAAGGCAAUCCCCUGGGGCCCUGCACUGACGCUCAUGCAACGAAAGCGGUGGGGAGACAAACAGGAUUAGACUACCCUGGUACGUCCACGACCCUAAACGAUGUACAAC